GAUGAACGCUGGCGGCGUGCCUAAUACAUGCAAGUAGAACGCUGAAGGAAGGAGCUUGCUCUUUCCGGAUGAGUUGCGAACGGGUGAGUAACGCGUAGGUAACCUGCCUGGUAGCGGGGGAUAACUAUUGGAAACGAUAGCUAAUACCGCAUAACAGUAGAUGUUGCAUGAUAUCUACUUAAAAGGUGCAAUUGCACCACUACCAGAUGGACCUGCGUUGUAUUAGCUAGUUGGUGAGGUAACGGCUCACCAAGGCGACGAUACAUAGCCGACCUGAGAGGGUGAUCGGCCACACUGGGACUGAGACACGGCCCAGACUCCUACGGGAGGCAGCAGUAGGGAAUCUUCGGCAAUGGACGGAAGUCUGACCGAGCAACGCCGCGUGAGUGAAGAAGGUUUUCGGAUCGUAAAGAUCUGUUGUAAGAGAAGAACGAGUGUGAGAGUGGAAAGUUCACACUGUGACGGUAUCUGACCAGAAAGGGACGGCUAACUACGUG
rnacentral:rRNA from 1 species